UACGUAGGUGGCAAGCGUUGUCCGGAUUUAUUGGGUUUAAAGGGUGCGUAGGCGGCUUAUUAAGUCAGUGGUGAAAUAUCGCAGCUUAACUGUGAGGGUGCCAUUGAUACUGAUGAGCUUGAGUACAGAUGAGGUAGGCGGAAUUGACGGUGUAGCGGUGAAAUGCAUAGAUAUCGUCAAGAACACCUAUAGCGAAGGCAGCUUACUAAGCUGUAACUGACGCUGAGGCACGAAAGUGUGGGGAUCAAAC
rnacentral:rRNA from 1 species